rnacentral:rRNA from 1 species
GAUGAACGCUGGCGGCGUGCCUAAUACAUGCCAGUCGAGCGAACGGACGAGAAGCUUGCUUCUCUGAUGUUAGCGGCGGACGGGUGAGUAACACGUGGAUAACCUACCUAUAAGACUGGGAUAACUUCGGGAAACCGGAGCUAAUACCGGAUAAUAUUUUGAACCGCAUGGUUCAAAAGUGAAAGACGGUCUUGCUGUCACUUAUAGAUGGAUCCGCGCUGCAUUAGCUAGUUGGUAAGGUAACGGCUUACCAAGGCAACGAUGCAUAGCCGACCUGAGAGGGUGAUCGGCCACACUGGAACUGAGACACGGUCCAGACUCCUACGGGAGGCAGCAGUAGGGAAUCUUCCGCAAUGGGCGAAAGCCUGACGGAGCAACGCCGCGUGAGUGAUGAAGGUCUUCGGAUCGUAAAACUCUGUUAUUAGGGAAGAACACAUGUGUAAGUAACUGUGCACAUCUUGACGGUACCUAAUCAGAAAGCCACGGCUAACUACGUG